rnacentral:lncRNA from 1 species
CCAACAGCAUUUAUCACAAGUUGCUAUUAACACGCACACACGCACAUAUCAAAGUCCUCUACAAUUAAGUAGCCUUCAGGUUGGAACAUAAUAAACCUCCGCGAGGCGGAGGCUGACCUGGUGUGUCCACCUGGGCCGGUCGACCUCCCCUGACCAGGGAUCUAUAAUCAGAAGACACAGUGGAGGAAGAGCACACACUUGUCUUGGAAUUUGCUCCAGGAGGGAGUGGUUUCGAUCCCCGCGAUCCCAGACCUCCAGUCACGUUUGGAAGCAAGGGGGCCUUAGAGGGACGUGUCUGAAUUUGGGGACCUGGAAUCCAACCUGACGUAAUCCAAAGUGGAGCCACUCUGGGUGAUAACAGCCUCCAACGUGUGUCCUGGAAGAUCGGAGAGAUGGGAACGUGAUGGAGACCACUGAUUGAGAAGGCGUUGGAAGAAAGAGGAAAGGGAACACCCAUGGAGCUCUCAGUUCCAGUCCCUGUACUUGAAACGGUACGUCUGCCAUGUUAUAUCCUCUUCACACAAAAGUUAAAGAUUCAACAAGAUCGUAGCCAGUGGACUUGUGGACUGUGAAACAAGUCUCAAAGAAGUUGAGGAGCAAAUCCAAGGUCAUGUGACCAGUAAGUAAAGAGGAAGGAUUUCAACCCAGAUCUGAUGCCAAAGCUAGGCUUAGCUCUGGGCCAGCUCGCCCCCUGCAGGUGGCUGUGGGGAACGGCAGGAAGGGUUCUUUCCCCACCAUCAAGGCAGGGCUAUUAAGCAGGAGUGGUUUCUGGAGACUUACUAUUACCUUUGAGUCUUGCAUUCUCCCUCCAUAUCUGAUAAGUCCUCAGUAUGAAUCCCAAAUUACCCCAAGAACAAGAAAAUUAGGUUUCAUGUGGACAGAGAGAAGUGCUCCCCAACCUGCUGUCUGGGCCUUUACCACCCACCCCCGGCCCCCAGUCCCACUGAGGAAAUCAAGUUUCUGCUCCAGCCUUGGAGGAUCUGCCAUUCAGCUGAAGCGAAAGGUGCCCUUCAUGAUCAGGGUGGAGCUUGUGAGGAAGAGAAGCAGGAGGCAACACUGGAAGAAUACAAGCCCUUCUCUCCCAGCUGCAGAGGUCCCCAAGAAGAAACCCCACCUCAGGGACUGUCCCUCUCAGUUCUUGGAGGACUUCAUGUCUCAGGGGUAUGCAGAAGGUAGCUGUGGAAAGCCAUAUGGCAAUUCCUCAAAAACAUUACAAGUAGGAUAGCACAUGACACAACAAUUCUACUUCUGAUAUAUAACUUAAGACAAUUGAAAAGCCGGGUCUCAAAGAGAUAUUUGCACACCUGUGUUCAGGGCAGCAUUACUCACUUGUAGUGGAAAGCUGGAAGCACACCUGUGAGCCCAGCAACUCAGGAGGCUGAGGCAGGAGGAUCGCGAGUUCAAAGCCAGCCUCAUCAACUUAGUGAGGCCCUGUCUUUACAUAAAAUACAUAGAAGGGCUGAGGAUGUGGUUCAGUGGUUAAACACCCUGGGUUCAAUCCCCAGUACCAAAAAAAAAAAAAAAGUACAUUAAUGGAUAAAUGAACACAAGUGGCAUAUAUAUACAAUGUAAAAUUACCAUCCGUUAAAGAAAGGAAAUUCUGCAUGAGUCUUGUUUUUGUGUUUGUUAUGGGGAUUGAACCCAUGGGUACUUUAUCACUGAGCCACAUCCCCAGCGCUUUUUACUUUUAUUUUUUUAUUUUGAGACAGAGCCUUGCUAAGUUGCUGGGGCUGGCUUUGAACUCUCGAUCCUCCUGCCUCAGCCUCCCAAGCCACCAGGAUAACAGGCGUGUGCCACCGCGCCCAGCAAUUCUGGAUGAAUCUUGAGGACGUAAUGUAUGCCAGUCACAAAGAGUACUGUAUGAGUCUUCUUAUGUGGGGCACCUAGAAUAGACAGAAAAAAGAGGGUAGAUGCCAGGGGCUGGGGCAGAGGUUCAGAGACUCAAGGAAAGAUGACAAAGUUCUGUAGAUGGAUGAUGGUGACAGUUACACAGCAUGUCAAAGCCCUUAAUACCACUGAGCUGUGUACGCUAAAAUGGUUAAGAUGGAAAUUAAAGUUAAAAAAUCAAUCUAAAAAAGUUGAUAAUGUUC